rnacentral:rRNA from 1 species
AUUGAACGCUGGCGGCAUGCCUUACACAUGCAAGUCGAACGGUAACAGGUUAAGCUGACGAGUGGCGAACGGGUGAGUAAUGUAUCGGAACGUGCCCAGUCGUGGGGGAUAACUGCUCGAAAGAGCAGCUAAUACCGCAUACGACCUGAGGGUGAAAGCGGGGGAUCGCAAGACCUCGCGCGAUUGGAGCGGCCGAUAUCAGAUUAGGUAGUUGGUGAGGUAAAGGCUCACCAAGCCGACGAGCUGUAGCUGGUCUGAGAGGACGACCAGCCACACUGGGACUGAGACACGGCCCAGACUCCUACGGGAGGCAGCAGUGGGGAAUUUUGGACAAUGGGCGCAAGCCUGAUCCAGCCAUGCCGCGUGCGGGAAGAAGGCCUUCGGGUUGUAAACCGCUUUUGUCAGGGAAGAAAAGGUUCUGGCUAAUACCUGGGACUCAUGACGGUACCUGAAGAAUAAGCACCGGCUAACUACGUG